rnacentral:rRNA from 1 species
GCAAGUCGAGCGCGCCCUUCGGGGUGAGUGGCGCACGGGUGCGUAACACGUGGGAAUUUACAUUUCGGUAAGGAAUAACACAGAGAAAUUUGUGCUAAUACCUUAUAAUGACUCCGGUCCAAAGAUUUAUCGCCGAAAGAUAAGCCCGCGCUAGAUUAGGUAGUUGGUAGGGUAAGAGCCUACCAAGCCUACGAUCUAUAGCUGGUCUGAGAGGAUGAUC